rnacentral:rRNA from 1 species
UCAGGACGAACGCUGGCGGCGUGCCUAACACAUGCAAGUCGAGCGAGGAGAUCCUCGGGAUGAUCCUAGCGGCGGACGGGUGAGUAACACGUGGGCAACCUGCCUCAUAGAGAGGAAUAGCCUUCCGAAAGGGAGAUUAAUACCUCAUAACAUUGCAGUUUCGCAUGAAACAGCAAUUAAAGGAGCAAUCCGCUAUGAGAUGGGCCCGCGGCGCAUUAGCUAGUUGGUGAGGUAACGGCUCACCAAGGCGACGAUGCGUAGCCGACCUGAGAGGGUGAUCGGCCACAUUGGGACUGAGACACGGCCCAGACUCCUACGGGAGGCAGCAGUGGGGAAUAUUGCACAAUGGGGGAAACCCUGAUGCCAGCAACGCCGCGUGAGUGAUGACGGCCUUCGGGUUGUAAAGCUCUGUCUUCAGGGACGAUAAUGACGGUACCUGAGGAGGAAGCCACGGCUAACUACGUGCCAGCCGCCGC